rnacentral:rRNA from 1 species
GGUGAACGCUGGCGGUAGGCCUAACACAUGCAAGUCGAACGGCAGCACAGUAAGAGCUUGCUCUUACGGGUGGCGAGUGGCGGACGGGUGAGGAAUACAUCGGAAUCUACUUUUUCGUGGGGGAUAACGUAGGGAAACUUACGCUAAUACCGCAUACGACCUACGGGUGAAAGCAGGGGAUCUUCGGACCUUGCGCGAUUGAAUGAGCCGAUGUCGGAUUAGCUAGUUGGCGGGGUAAAGGCCCACCAAGGCGACGAUCCGUAGCUGGUCUGAGAGGAUGAUCAGCCACACUGGAACUGAGACACGGUCCAGACUCCUACGGGAGGCAGCAGUGGGGAAUAUUGGACAAAGGGCGCAAGCCUGAUCCAGCCAUACCGCGUGGGUGAAGAAGGCCUUCGGGUUGUAAAGCCCUUUUGUUGGGAAAGAAAAGCAGCAGGUUAAUACCCCGCUGUUCUGGCGGUACCCAAAGAAUAAGCACCGGCUAACUUCGUG